rnacentral:rRNA from 1 species
GAUGAACGCUAGCGGCAGGCCUAAUACAUGCAAGUCGAACGGGUGGUCGCAAGACCACUAGUGGCGCACGGGUGCGUAACGCGUAACCAACCUGCCCCGAUCUGGGGGAUAGCCCGCCGAAAGGCGGAUUAAUACCGCAUAUACCCGCAGCCUGGCAUCAGGCAACGGGGAAAGAUUUAUUGGAUCGGGAUGGGGUUGCGUGACAUUAGCUAGUUGGCGGGGUAAGGGCCCACCAAGGCGACGAUGUCUAGGGGACCUGAGAGGGUGAUCCCCCACACUGGCACUGAGAUACGGGCCAGACUCCUACGGGAGGCAGCAGUAGGGAAUAUUGGGCAAUGGGCGAGAGCCUGACCCAGCCAGGCCGCGUGCCGGAUGAAGGCCUUCUGGGUUGUAAACGGUUUUUCUCAGGGAAGAAAAAGACCUUGCGAGGUACACUGACGGUACCUGAGGAAUAAGCACCGGCUAACUCCGUG